CAGUCGCCGCGGUAAUACGUAGGUGGCAAGCGUUGUCCGGAAUUAUUGGGCGUAAAGGGCUCGCAGGCGGUUUCUUAAGUCUGAUGUGAAAGCCCCCGGCUCAACCGGGGAGGGUCAUUGGAAACUGGGAAACUUGGGUGCAGAAGAGGAGAGUGGAAUUCCACGUGUAGCGGUGAAAUGCGUAGAGAUGUGGAGGAACACCAGUGGCGAAGGCGACGCUCUGGUCUGUAACUGACGCUGAGGAGCGAAAGCGUGGGGAGCGAACAGGAUUAGAUACCCCCGUAGUCCCUGUCUCUUAUAC
rnacentral:rRNA from 1 species